CCUCUCUAGGCAACCUGUUCCACUGCCUCCCUACCCUUACAGAGUACCAACCAUCUGCAUAAAUCAGAGAUAAUAAAAACAAGAUCUUCAAAAGGAGAAACAGCUUUGAGAACAGUACUUGUUGUUAAUGAUGAAUGAAAAAAGAAGUUGAAGGACAGGCAAACUGGUUAAAACGAAGUAGGCCUCUUGUACUGCUGGUUUGAAUCACCUGUUAGACACCCAGUGUGAUGCAGGAAAGUGGGUGGCUGCAGGCUCAGAAACUUAU
rnacentral:lncRNA from 1 species